rnacentral:rRNA from 1 species
AUGGCAUGUGGCAUGGGCUAUGCGUGCCUGCAAUCACUUGCCGGAGAAGCCCAGCAUCAUCAUCGUCCAUCAGCCUCUGGCGCAAAAGCUUCCACUCCAAGAUCGGGAAUGAUGGGAGGAGCUCCUGGGGUGGCCUGGGUGAGGAAUUGUUGUACCAAGAAGAGCAGAAGCGUGAGCAGUAGCAGGGGAAUCAAUCAAAGCAAAGUUGGGUUGGAGCACAGGCCGCUCGUGAGGCACCGCGACAAGGACGCCCCAAGCGUUUUCGCCUUUGUCCUCGUCCUGAAUUUUCUUGCAUUAUCAUCACAUAUAUUCACAUGCAUAUAUAACAACAACACGGGGAGGUCGGUGCACAGAAUUGAGGGCGCUGCUACGAACUGCUAA